CCUACGGGGGGCAGCAGUGGGGAAUAUUGGACAAUGGGGGGAACCCUGAUCCAGCCAUGCCGCGUGUGUGAAGAAGGCCCUCGGGUUGUAAAGCACUUUCAGUGAGGAAGAACGCCUGGUGGUUAAUACCCAUCAGGAAAGACAUCACUCACAGAAGAAGCACCGGCUAACUCCGUGCCAGCAGCCGCGGUAAUACGGAGGGUGCGAGCGUUAAUCGGAAUUACUGGGCGUAAAGCGCGCGUAGGUGGCUUGAUAAGCCGGUUGUGAAAGCCCCGGGCUCAACCUGGGAACGGCAUCCGGAACUGUCAAGCUAGAGUGCAUGAGAGGAAGGUAGUAUUCCCGGUGUAGCGGUGAAAUGCGUAGAGAUCGGGAGGAAUACCAGUGGCGAAGGCGGCCUUCUGGACUGACACUGACACUGAGGUGCGAAAGCGUGGGUAGCAAACAGGAUUAGAUACCCCAGUAGUC
rnacentral:rRNA from 1 species